rnacentral:lncRNA from 1 species
GCACAAUUCCAGCCCUACUGCUGGGGCACUUUCAACAGUUCUGGCUGUGGAGGCCCCUACUGGGCUCCAGAGCAGGUGUUACAGUCCCUGUCCUGAGACUAAAAUGCCUGUUCAGCCACACUGUCAGUCCACCAAGGAAUGACUGACUUUAUAUGUACCCAGAUUUAAAACGGUGUCAUGCUCUCAGGUCUGCGUGUAGGAAAAUGUCUUCAGCUUUUCCUGGUCUCUUUCUCUAAUAGCAUCUUCAUUCUUUCCCAAAGUUAGCUUCAGGUGUGGGAAGAAACAAAACACUCUGCCUUGGCCUGUGCUGUAUGGAUCCCCAGUGGAAAGGAAAUUGCUAAAUAUGCAGCUCCUAAACUCAGACUAUUCUGUGUCUUAAUCCAAGAGAAGUCCCAACCACUAUCCCUCAUUUUGAAAUGAAAGAGCCACAAAAGGAACGGUUUAUCUACUGAUGCCAGACCAACAUUGCACAGAAUUGUGUCUCAACCCAAGCAUAUCUCUCUACAGAUGUUGAAGGAAGGGUGUCUGUGUACCCACUGAUUCUUCUGCUGAUGAACAAUAGCAUGAUUGUUCCAGGUGAUUCUUAUUGAUGACUUUCAGAAGCAGCACAGCAUGUCUCCUAAUAUGGAAUGGUUUGCUAUGCUAUUGCAUGGCUGAAAGGGUUGACUGGACCACCAUGAGGAUGGAAAAUUUUUCCUGAAGAAAUAAUAGUGGUGUGGGUGCAUUGUCAGUGGGUAACCAAUGCUUAUGAGAGGACAUGUUAGUGAGAUCUAAAGGUUCCCAUGAUUAGGUGGUUGGAUUAUUCACAUUAUAGGUUACCUUGAGCAGAUAUGAAGUCCACAGAUCUAAGAGUUAUGAAGCCCCGGAUUAGGUGGUUCACUUGUCAAUCAUGUCACCAUGGAAUUUACAGACUACUGAAGCCUGAAAAUAUGUUGAUAAAGAGGGAACUGAAUGGAAAAGAGUGAGGACUGAUAAUGAUUGGUCUAAUUGAUUGUGGGGGUGAAGGUGGCAAACAUAACACCCCUUAUUUUUCUUUCAUUUUAUUAUAAUCAUCCUUGUGAGUGUGAAAUUGUGUCACAUUGUGGUUUUGAUUUGUAUUUCCUUAAUGCCAAUGCUAUUGAACAUCUUUUUAUUUGCUUGUUGGUCAUUUGUAUGUCUUAUUUAGAGAAAUGUCUAUUCAAGUCCUUUGAUCAUUUUUAAAUUGUGUUGUUCAUCUUUUGUUGAUAAAGUUUUGUAAACCAUUUAUAUUCUUCAUACAGAACCUUUAUCGAAUGUAUAAUUUGCAAAUAUUUUCUCCUAUUCUGUGGAUUGUCUUUUCACUUUCUCAAUAGUGUUCAUGGGUACACAAUGGUUUAAAAUUUUAAUGAAGUCUAACUUAUCUGUUUUCUUUUGUCUCUCAUGUUUUGUUGUCAAAUCUAAGAUUCCACUGAUAAAUAUGAGGUCAUGAGGAUUUACAUUUACAUUUUCUUUUAAGAGUUUUAUAAUUUUUCUUGUUAUAUUUAUGUCGCUGAUUCAUUUUAAGUUGAUUAUUGAAUAUCAAAUGAAGUAGGGAUCCAAUUUUAUUCUUUUGCAUGUGUUUAUCAAGUUCUAGCAGUAUUUACUGAAGUCUGGUCUUUUCCCAUUGAAUGGUCUUAGCACCCUUGUAAAAUAUCUAUUGGCCAUAAAUGUUUAUUUGUUUAUUCUUAAUUAUAUUACAUUUGGCCUAUCCUUAGGUCAGUUGCAUACAUUUUUAUAAUUGUAUAGUUUUGUUGUAAGUUUUGAAAUCCCCAACUAUUUUUGUACAAUUGCAUAUUUCUUUCCAAUUCUGUCAGUUUUUGCUUUACAUAUUUUAGGACUGUGUUGUUUUCUGUUUAUUUCAUAAUUGUCAUGACUUCUUGAUGAUUUGAACUUUUUAUCAAAAUACUUGUCCAUUGAUUCUUGCAACAACUUUUACUUGCAAUCUACUUUGUCUUAUAAUAGUAUAGCCACUCUAGCUAUUAUUUGGUUAUUAUUGAAUAUUAUCUGUAUGGGAUACUUUUUUUUUCCAUUUGUGUUUUCAAACUAUUUGUGUCUCUGAUUCUAAAAUGAGUCUCCUAUAACAAUGGAAACUUGUUCUUUUUAAAAAGAA